CACACUGGAUUUGUCUGUAGGGCGUAAGCGGAGCUCCAGCACGUCAGAGGAGGAGCUGUCCAAUAAGAGGGCUCGCUGGGCCGACGAGUCAGAUGGCGUGAGGUCGGAGAAAGCGACGAUGACG